GUAUUGAAAUAAGAUUUUAAAUGAGUGCUAAGAGAAUGAUUAAACAAUUAAAAGCUUUCUUUAAUUGAAUAAUUGAAUUUAAUUUUUUAGUGCAAAAGCAAAAAUAAAAAUUAGGGACAAGAAGACCCUAUGAAUUUUUAUUAAAUUUUAUAAAACUUUAUAUAAAAUUUAAUUUAAUUGGGGUGAUGGAAAAAGAAUAAAUAUCUUUUUUUUUAAAAAAAA
rnacentral:rRNA from 1 species